rnacentral:tRNA from 1 species
UCCCUGGUGGCUCAGAUGGUAAAGCGUCUGCCUACAAUGUGGGAGACCUAGGUUCGAUCCCUGGGUCGGGAA